GGGGUUGUGGCUCAGUGGUAGAGCGCUUGCCUAGCAAGUGCAAGGUGUUGGGUUCAGUCCGCAGCACCA
rnacentral:tRNA from 1 species